rnacentral:rRNA from 1 species
UACGUAGGGUGCAAGCGUUAAUCGGAAUUACUGGGCGUAAAGCGUGCGCAGGCGGUGAUGUAAGACAGUUGUGAAAUCCCCGGGCUCAACCUGGGAACUGCAUCUGUGACUGCAUCGCUGGAGUGCGGCAGGGGGGGAUGGAAUUCCGCGUGUAGCAGUGAAAUGCGUAGAUAUGCGGAGGAACACCGAUGGCGAAGGCAAUCCCCUGGGCCUGCACUGACACUGAGGCACGAAAGCGUGGGGAGCAAACAGG